rnacentral:lncRNA from 1 species
GUCACCCACUCGGAACAUGAAGCACAGCUUGCCAUUUCUAACGGCAAUCACAGCAUGGCGGCUGAAAAUCAAAGUUUCCGCCCUUCUGUGAGCCUGAGCUGUUUUCAUGAAAAUGCAACCCAACAUGACUGCGUUGAUUAUCAAACCCACAAUGUUCUGAAGAAUCAAAACUGUGAUGGCCAGGGGACAUUCCUCUGUCAUCAUUCUCCCUCCAAAUCCAAUUGUCACUUGAACUUCAAUGGAGAAGAGGAAAGCAGAGGUGAAAGACCUGUAAGGAGUGAUAUCAGAAAACGGUGCCAUCAGAUCAAAUUUUGAAUAAUGAAAUAACAUGCUAAGCUGAAUUUUCCAUUUUC